CAAUUUUGGGAGCUAAUGACAUCGUAUUUGUCAAUAAUAGUUUCGGAACGUAGAAAUAGUCAUUAGCAUUGGAAAUAACAGUUUUAUUAAUGUUAAUUUGAAUAAUAUUGUUUAAAUUACGUUGUCCGCGAUGAAUUGAAGUAGGGCGACCUGAUAGGGAAAAAUCAUGUUCUAGUAAUAAUACUGGACUGAGUAUUGACUAUUGAACUAUAAAUAAACUGGAAGGCUAACUGCUAUGAUGAAGGCCUAUGAUUUGAUGAAGCCAAAAUAGUUUUUCUGAGUUAUGAGCAGAAAUACUUGAUCCCAAACGUCGGGCUAUAUAUCAAAUUGAAGCUAUUGAAAAUUGCUAUUCGGUGUGGAAAUUUCAAGACUUCAGCGAAAAAAAAAUAUUUAAAAAAUACAAAAACAACUGCAAAACGGCAAAUUAUCGGUAAUUAUGUUUGUAGUUUUUCAAUAUUUCCCUUUUAGCUAAAGUCCUGAAAUUUCUACACCAAAUAGCGUUUUUCAAUAGCUUCAAUUUGAUAUAUAGCCCAACGUUCAGUGUUGAGUAUUUCUGCUCAUAACUCAGAAAAACUAAAAUGCACUGGCUUCAAUCCCCCCCCCCCCUGAGUUAGCCUUCCAGUUUAUUUAUAGUUCAAUGG